rnacentral:tRNA from 1 species
GGGGGUAGAGGUCAGUGGUGCACUGCCUGCCUGGCAAGCAUGAGGUCCUGAGUUCAAUUCCUGCUAUCCCCU